rnacentral:snRNA from 1 species
AUUGCUUCUCGGCCUUUUGGCUAAGAUCAAGUGUAGCGUAACAGCCAAAAAGUUGAAACAAUCCAGGGACUCAGGAUGGGAAUAUAAUUUACCAGAAAUGGGUAUAAGGAAACUCUUCUGGUUAUUUUUUAAAUGGAUUGCGGCAAUUUUACAAUGUUGCAAAUUCAAAAUCCUU